rnacentral:rRNA from 1 species
UACGUAGGGUGCAAGCGUUAAUCGGAAUUACUGGGCGUAAAGCGCACGUAGGUGGCGACGUAAGUCGGGUGUGAAAGCCCCGGGCUCAACCUGGGAAUUGCAUUCGAGACUGCAUUGCUGGAGUACGGAAGAGGAAGGCGGAAUUCCCGGUGUAGCGGUGAAAUGCGUAGAUAUCGGGAGGAACAUCAGUGGCGAAGGCGGCCUUCUGGUCCAGUACUGACACUCAAGUGCGAAAGCGUGGGGAGCAAACAGG